rnacentral:lncRNA from 1 species
CCAGGAGCAAGCAGCCAGCUGUAGAGGUAGCCUGCAGCCAGGGAGUAGUACAGCACUAGUCCCCGCUGUGCGUUAACCAUCUCUAAGAUCUGGUCGAUGGUGAUGGGUGAGUAGGGGUCGGAGUCCUGUUGUCCCGUCUGCCUUUCCACCAGCAGGUCAGCAAAUGCUCUCGUCCGGCCCCUUUCUGCCACGGCCAGGGCUUCAUCGUGGUGGCCUAGGAGACAGAGGGACAGGUGUGCUCACUCAGGGAGCAGCUGAGCAGCCAGUCAUCUGAUCUGGAGGAGACCCACGGCCUCUGUGUCAGCGCUGGCAGAAUUUCAGGGCUGUGCACACCUGUUCCUGCUGCCUGGAAGCUGAAGCCUGACAACAUGAAGCCACACAUGAGGGACACACUGCAGACGACAGACUUUAGGGUAAACACCAACAUGGAAAUGUUGUCAGAGCAAGGUCUGAGGAGACAAGACUGAGGCUGGGAGCCCAGGCCACAACUCUGGUGACUCCAGAGGCUUCACCCCCUGUUGUUCAGGCAGCCUUACAAAGAAGGGGUUUAUGUGAGUGCGUGCAAACACCCUCCCUUACGCUAUUAACUUAUUAACUGGAACAGCAGGGAUGAUUUCUGCACACACUGGAGAAUUAUCCCCAAAGUGCUGGGCAGACUUAACAGUGUGAUCAUAAUGGCAAUAAAUGACAUCCCAGGCAUGAUCCCAGCCCAUGCAUAACAGGAAACCU